CAACCUGCCUUCGAGAGGGGGAUAACGCACCGAAAGGUGUGCUAAUACCGCAUAAAGUUUAGCAGUCGCAUGAGUGUUAAAUGAAAGUGCGGGAGUACCUACGGGUAUCCGCACACUCGAAGAGGGAUCUAUAUCCUAUUAGCUAGUUGGUGGGGUAAAGGCCUACCAAGGCGAUGAUGGGUAGCCGGCCUGAGAGGGUGUCCGGCCACAUGGGCACUGAGACACGGCCCGACUCCUACGGGAGGCAGCAGUAGGGAAUCUUGGGCAAUGGGCGAAAGCCUGACCCAGCGACACCGCGUGGAUGAAGAAGGCCUUCGGGUUGUAAAAUCCUAACACAUAUUAGGAAGGUUUGUUGCCGAAUAAGUAACGAACUUGACGAAGGUAUGAGAUGAAGUCAUGGCUAACUCUGUGCCAGCAGCCGCGGUAAUACAGAGAUGACAACCGUUGUUCGGAAUCACUGGGCUUAAAGAGCACGUAGGCGGGACGAUAAGUCGGUUGUGAAAGUUCACGGCUCACCCGUGAAAGGUCAACCGAAACUAUAGUUCUUGAGGUCGGUAGGGGAGAGUGGAAUUCCUGGUGGAGCGGUGAAAUGCGUUGAUAUCAGGAGGAACGUCGGAGGCGUAGGCGACUCUCUGGGCCGAACCUGACGCUGAGGUGCGAAAGCUAGGGGAGCAAACGGGAUUAGAUACCCCGGUAGUCCUAGCCGUAAACGAUGGGCACUAAGUAGGGGGGGUAAUAUCCUCUCUGCCGGAGCAAAAGUGUUAAGUGCCCCGCCUGGGGAGUAUGGUCGCAAGGCUGAAACUCAAAGGAAUUGACGGGGGCUCGCACAAGCGGUGGAGCAUGUGGUUUAAUUCGAAGCAACGCGAAGAACCUUACCUGGGUUUGACAUUCUGGGAUUAGCAUGCUGAAAGGUGUGUGACGGUCCUUAGGGACAGGAACCAGAACAGGUGUUGCAUGGCAGUCGUCAGCUCGUGCCGUGAGGUGUUGGGUUAAGUCCCAUAACGAGCGAAACCUUUGUCCUUAGUUGCCAACAGGUAAAGCUGGGGACUCUAAGGAGACUGCAGACGUCAAGUCUGAGGAAGGUGGAGACGACGUCAAGUCAUCAUGGCCCUUAUGCCCAGGGCUACACACGUGCUACAAUGGCCGGUACAAAGGGAAGCGAGGCCGCGAGGUGGAGCAAAUCCCAAAAAGCCGGUCUCAGUUCGGAUUGUGGGCUGCAAUUCGCCCACAUGAAGCUGGAAUCGCUAGUAAUCGUGGGUCAGCAAUACCACGGUGAAUGUGUUCCCGAGCCUUGUACACACCGCCCGUCAAGCCACCGAAGCAGGGGUAGCCUGAAGUCACUGACCCAACCUUUCGGGGAGGGAGGUGCCCAAGGAGACUUCUGUGACGGGGACUAAGUCGGAACAAGGUA
rnacentral:rRNA from 1 species